rnacentral:lncRNA from 12 species
GGAAAGUGUCUCUCUUUAUUACAGACAUUCACUCCUCAUCAGUCCAGGACAGAAGUGGAGGGAUUUGCCACCUAGAGCGAGUGACCUCUCUCACAUUUACAGAAGGAAGGAGUGAAAGGAGGAUUACUGAGGAGGGAUAAUCAAAUCAGCAGAGAGUGCAGAUGUUCUCCACAGCUGGCCAGAUGCCUAGAGGUAAAACCUAGAGACUGAAUCAUUUCUUUUUUAUCUGUAUUAUUCAAAGUAAAUAGUACCGAUCUAUAAUCAACA